GAAAUGCGAUAAGUAGUGUGAAUUGCAGAAUUCAGUGAAUCAUCGAAUCUUUGAACGCACAUUGCGCCCUUUGGCAUUCCGAAGGGCAUACCUGUUUGAGUAUCAUGAAAUCUUCAAAGUAAAUCUUUUGUUAACUCAAUUGGUUUCUACUUUGGUAUUGGAGGUCUUUGCAGCUUCACACCUGCUCCUCUUUGUUCAUUAGCUGGAUCUCAGUGUUAUGCUUGGUUCCACUCGGCGUGAUAAGUUAUCUAUCGCUGAGGACACUGUAAAAGGUGGCCAAGGUAAAUGCAGAUGAACCGCUUCUAAUAGUCCAUUGACUUGGACAAUACUUUUAUGAUCUGAUCUCAAAUCAGGUAGGACUACCCGCUGAACUUAAGC
rnacentral:misc_RNA from 1 species